UGCCCAGUGGAGAUGGUUAGGAAAAUCUGUUCUGAGUUAAGCUUACUCCCUUUGAUACAUGUUUCCAAUUGCUAACCAAAUGCUGCUUUAAUUUUUGUUUAUAGGAAGCUGAACCAAGUCAAAGAAGACUGUUAUUUGGAGCAUGUGUGAGGCUUGGCUAGCCCAGAGGCUGAUGUCACCAGUAUUCAGAGGUUCAGGAUGAUGCCACCUAUUGGACAUAAGAAACCCAGGAAGAUGAUUUCCAGCUGUGAUUUCCAAAUGUGCAUCUGCUGUGUCAGGUCCACUGUUCCACUGGACAGAAUCCCAGGCCCGAGAGUAUCAUAAGCAUAGAGCUGUGGAGUCAGCUCUAGAACUCCACAUAGCAUCAUCAAAGCAUGGAGCAGACAUGGUUUCCAGGUAACUGUUUAUAGAGGGAAGGACAGAUCAGUAUG
rnacentral:lncRNA from 1 species